ACUUGGCCUCCCGGCAGGCAGCGCACCGCCGCCCCCGGAGUCGCGUCACUUCCAGCGGCAGCCGGCGGGGCGGGCACGUAAAUUAAUAAACAAACCAGCUACUAACGCCGCUGUGGUGAUACCUACCCCUUGCUAGGCAACUUGGCCCUACCAACUGCAUGCCCACAUCUGAAUGGUUUUGUGACCAGCAAUAAGCCUUGCACUUCUGCAAUCUUGAUGAGGUUUAGUGAGCACCUCUGCACCAUGCCCCAUUGUGCAACACAAGCACCCCUAAUUUCAUGUGUCACGGAACCAGGUAAGACAGCAGAGAGAUGGACACUCUGGCCUGCAAAUGCAUCAUCUCUUCAUCCCAGAAAGUGAGAUUCUGCUUUUUACCAGCUUCCCUUUCAUGCUGGGCACUGUGAGCCCCACAGCUCUCUAUGGACACUCUUAGAGGUAAAAACACUGUGGUUGUCAGUUGUUGAACUUCUGAGCUGUUAAUUCAUGCCCUUCUCUCCUACCCCCAAACAGUGAAAUAUUUGCUGGCACUGUCCAGGAAUUCAUCUGUUGGUGUUUUAAUAUGCAGAUGUAUGAUCAUCCAGUUGCUACAAUUACACUGUGGGAAUCUUGUUUCUAAAAAUACACCACUCUACUGCUUUCCAACGCUAGCAUGAGAUAAUGUAUCGUGUUCCCUAGUUGCCAGUGACACACAGGAUGAAGGUAAUCAAUACAGCUGGUAAUAUGUAAAGACAGCAACUAUUCUAGUUACAACUGAUUUCCCUUUCUCUUAAAAACAUCAUCUUCAAGCAUGAGUUAUCACAGCUUCAGCUGUACAAUGCAUUAAAACUAUCGUGUGCUUCCCUUUGCUAAAUAGAAUCCUGUUAUUUUGCCUGAGAGCAUCUUCUGAAUAGCUGAAAGAGGUUAGGUUUAUUAUGAGAACCUUAAACCAGCUGAUACUCCAUCAGGUGCUCAGUUGCUGUCAAUUCACUGAAAUCAAGAGAGAUCUGCCUGUUUGCAUCCCUCAGGAUGUGAUUGCUGUAUUUUAUCUAGGGAAGUGUGUGUGCACAUUGUCUUUUGAAUUCAAGGUCCAGCAAACAACUCUCUGCUAAGAAACAUUGUCUUCCAUGUUCCAGCUUCUCUUCUGCAUUAUUUAAAUUGCAGGUGAAAGCACUGUGAGUCAGUAGAGGCUGUAAAAAUUGACAAAAUGCCCUUCAUUUUUUACUAUUGAAAGAGUAAUAUUUUGAAGGAUAUUGCAUUAGAAAUAGCCCCUCUGAUCCCAGAGGAGUUACUCGGUCCAUAGCAUGACUUAAUCUUACUGCUGGCCCAAAAUAACUUGUUUGCCUGGUGAGCAAAGGAGAGGAAUUGAACUACAAUGUUGUAGCCAAAAGUCAUGGUGAUGAGCCAUUAAGUGUGUGCAAACCAGUAUAUUUCAAAUUACAGCACCGAUUGCUGAGAAACUGUUGCUGCAUCGCUUGUUCUUCCCUCUCUCUGCCAACAGAAUAACAACAGUAACACUAGAAAUGGCAAUGAGCAUUCAUGAUUUAACACAAAUUGUAAAGUUCGUCAGUGCUUUGAAGUUUUUCACCGAGUGAUGCUUAAUAAAGUACACCUUGGUUGGUGUCUGUAGAGGACACAUAAAGCUCUGGAGCCACAGGAGAAUUACUCUGGCUGUGGGGUGUCCAGCAAUGUCUCUCUCUUGUGCAGAGGACCGGCCACCCCUGAGAAAAGGUGGUGGAGAUGGAGGGGAAUGGAUGUGAAAGCUGUGUUCUGCACACACGCCAUAAUCCAGACCUGCUCCCUGCUUUGCCCCUCAAAGUCUGUUUUGUAGCCAGGCUAGCUCAUUGUACCUUUCUUACAAAAAUGGGGUGUAAAAGGAGCACCACUAUGCUUGUUGCUGUCUUUAUGCUUUUAAAUUAAAAUAUUUCCUUUUCCCCUGGAGAUUGUAGUGAGUCUGUUUUUUCCCCAAGAAUGUUUCUUCUACCCAAAGCCAUAUUCUGCCUUUAGUUCUGGUCUGGAUCUCCUCUAGACAGUGAUUAUCUUUCCCAUUGAACAGAAAAUUUCUUAGAGAGCAGCCAGGAAAGAAUCCUCUUUGCCUCUUCAAGCAUGCAGUGCCGGAGCUGCUACUGUAGCUUGUCAUACAUUACACUACUGUCAGCCCUGGCUUUGCUCCCAUUACAAGGGUUUUUGGAGCCAGACAAAGGCAAAGCCACUGAGCAGUCUCUGAAAUCUCCAGUAUCCCCAUCAGUGCUUGGUGAAGGCUGCUCCACAGCAUGGAGCUCUGCCUCUGCUCCAUCGGUAUUGGCCCAUGGCCUCUGGGCACCAAGGGAGCAUGGCUCUCUGCUGCUGUAUCAGAUUGCCUAGUGCUGAAAUCCUCUUUUCUCUGCUGUUGAGAUUUACUGUUCAGCUUCAGUGAAGCUUUUCUAAUUAACCGGGCUUUUAUUGCUACCUCUUAGAGAGCAAGGAAGCCCUGUUCUGCAAAGCAGGAGUCAGCGUAGCUCUGUUUUGCUGUCGCUUCUGACCGCUGAGGGAGACUUCCAGGUCUCCUGCCAGGAGGAGAGCUGCUGAAAGACACCUCCUUCUCAGGGUCUUUCACAGAACAACCCCCUCCAGCAUCACAGCCUUGGUCUAGCAAGGCACCAGUGUGGAAACUAAAGCCUCAAAACCUGAUGGAGAGAUUUCAACCCGGGAUGAGAAAUGUGUAACCUUUGGCAAGCACUGGAGCCGAUGUGACAUUUUGGAGCCAGCCUCUAUUCUUAGAAGCAUGCUGAAAGUCAUAAUUUAAAAAUAAGAUCCAGCUCAGUGCUAGCAAAGAGUCGUAUUCAUGGUAUUCCUGUGAGUAAAUCCCUCAACAUGAAUUGGCUUGACUUCAAGCUCAGAAACACUCCACUGAAAUAAGGCCCAGCUGUGAGGCAUCCGUAGCGCUGAUCUUAAUGGCAGAGAAGUGGCACUUGCCACAUCAGGUGCUCCCAGUGGAGUGGGCAACCCCUUAUCCUCCUUUCCCCCAAAACUCCUACCUGUGGUUUGCUUAGUAUUACACGUCAAACAAGAGCUUUUCAAGGGCCUCUGCAGGAGUUGCCACAAGCAAGUGGUAAAAUUUGAUGUAUAUAUUCCCCCUUUUGAAAAUCCCCCAAGGCACUUAUGCAGCUGCUGUUCUGCUAUCUCAUGGGGACUAAAUGCUGCCCUUACACCAUUCACUGCCAUUUCUGGUUUGCAUCCGGGCUACCUAGUGCUGUGUUUUAACUCUGAAUCUUUAGCUGCCCCUUUUUAAGGUCACGUGUUGUAAACAAAGGGCCAAUUUCAGGCUGGCUUUGAGCAGGGAUGGAUACAGAUCCUGGCUGAUGGGUUAGACCUUGGAUGAACUGCGUGGGGAGCAUCUGAUUCAUAGUCAAUUUAUCAGGAGAAAAACCACAGAACUAGCUGUAUUCAAAUCCUCUUUGGAUUUUGAGGUUUCCCUCAGAAACCUCACUAAUUUUUUACAGCCACAACUGGAUGUAGGGCAUACUCCUUUCCCAUUUGGGUCAUUCAGAAUUUUCCCGAUAGCUUUAACUGGAAGAAACCGAGACCUUCAAGUUUCCUCUUCUACUUACUCAGGUCAGUGUGAACUUUAGUUCAGUUCGUGCCAACAAAUAAAACACUGGAUCUCAUAAUAACAUGUCUCUGGAGCCGAUCUGGUGGUUUUACUCACCACGUAACCCUCAGCCACUAAUCCAGUCCCACCGGAGCGAACGGAAGCGCACGUGUGAGUUACGCUGCUGACGGGCUGUUUUAUCCUAUGCAAAAGCAAUCAGCAAUCUGUGUCUCAUGGGCUGGCCGUAAGGUCUGAGUCGUGCCUGUUAACUUCUGAUGUCAGCAGGAGUCUCGCAUGAGUAAGCAAGAUAAUCUUUCCUCUGAGGGAGCUGAUUGUUACGUAUAGUGCAUUUAAACUGUAAAAGUUUUACACAAGCCGCUACUAAAGCUGCGCAUCUCAUUCUAAAGUUUCACACUACAGUUUUAUGAGGGAAACAGCAACAGCUGAAAAACAGUCAGAAGAUAAAGGAAGCCAGAAGUUAAAGGAGUCAAGAGGGUGUGUAAUGAGCGUUAAUAAUUCAGAUAAAAGACAGAACAACCUAUGUGAGGAUUUCCUGUUUUAUUAUUAUUAAAAGUUCAUUAUGAAAUUGGCACAACACAUAAAAAUAGAUCUGUGGUGAAUGAUACAUAUUACUAUUAUUGCCCAGUCCUUUUGUGCACAACCACACUUUUUAAAAUCAGAAGGUAAUUAAUAUAAGACAUUUCAUCAGCUGUGAAACCAGUGUUACUGCAGCAGAGAGAGGCUGUGCUUUCUGUUGACUCUGUCAAAUGGAUAUUGCAGACAGAAAUAGUCCUCUAUUCAUACUUAAAAAUAAACUCAGUUUUAGAGUAUGCCCCAGCUGAAAAUAACUGGAGAGGGAGAGCUAGAAAUACACCUUUUCUUAUGGACCUAUUUCCAUGAAAGUUAAAGAGAUUUCCACGGAUUUUAGAAGCAGCAGGAUAUAGUUAUUUGUUGAUGGGCAGAUGGAGAGGCCUAGCAACAGAAGCUAGGGAGGACCUGUGGCAAAGUACAUGCUUAUUAGUUUAAUUUUGCAUAUGCUGCUGAACUCCUUGUUGUAGUAAUUGUGUAUGUUCACAACAGCAGUGAUUGUUGGGAGGAGCUGUGAGGGUGUAUCAAAGCCAGAUAAAGAGUCUGCAGCUCAUUUUUUCUCCCUGUUUGUGUUGACCUUGGUUCUAAUCCCACACACCAUUCAGUGCAAAGUGACUUUUACCUGUAUGCUUUCUGAUCCACGUGAGAAAAUCGGAAUAAUACCCAUGGUUACAAAAAAAUCUCACCAGGUCACUAACUGGUCCCAGACUCACACAGCUUGUCUGUGCUUAUCACAGUGAGCAUUCAGAGCUGCCCUCAGCCUGACUCUUGCUCCUCACACUGUCGUAUCAGCUCAGGGGUGCCGGGAGGUUGCUUAAUGCUGCCACUAACUGGCUUAGCAGAACUGUGGUUCUGCAGUUUUCUGCAUGGAAAGGUCACUGUACCCAGCCUCAGAGUGGAAACCAGCGCUGUGGAUUUCUGUGGGGAGCACAUCUUGUGGAUGGGAGGCAAGAUGAGCCCCACAUCAGAUACACUGCUUGAAUAUCUCUGGGGAAAAUAAUACCUUAGCGGCAUGGCAACUCCUAAAUUUUCAUACUAUUUAUUUGGGAGCCUCUUUUAAAGAAGGCGAGUAGGAACAUGAACCAGCUCAUGCCUUUCAAACUUGUAAGCAGUGCUGGUUUUUUGCUGCGUGUCCUGCUAUGGGGUUGGAGAAGGUGGCAGCUAACAAUGUGGCAAAUGCCCAUCCCUGGGUCACGAAUCAACACGGCCUGUGCUCUUGGCUGGCUCUGAAAUGCCCACUAACCUCCCUCUGAACUCGUGCUCCAUUAGGACUAAAACACACGGUGGCUACUCUGUUCUUGUUUCCUCCACAGCGAAUAGUUUUAAAUCCUGGAAGAUAAAAAAAUCUCAGUGCUGCUCCCUUACAUUAAAAUCUCAGGGUUUCAGCCUCAGCCUCACAGCAGGAGAAAGGCAGGGGUGGAAAGCUGGCACAGCAGAACGGUGAAUCAGGCUCUCUCUUUGGUUUUCAGGAUGUUUACUCAAAACAGCCCUUGAGAAAGAUGCUAUGCCUCAAGCAGAUGUCACAUUCAACCGGUUUAGCAAUAUUACGCCUAUUUUUUCUCAAGCUAGGCAAGGAGGGAAGGGAGAAUAUAAUAUAUGUUAGUGCAAGUUCACAUAGACAACAUAUGAAUAUUUAGUACAAAAUGUUCUUUCAAGGUGGGGCAAACAUUUCUAAUUGUGUCACUAAAAAGAAGGUAUUUUGUAACAUUUUUAACAACUUGGCUGUGAAAAAGCAUUUAGGUGAAAUAUGUUUAGACACAGACUACCUCACAUGAUACUGAAGUAUUUUAAGGCUCUUUCUGAGUAGGCAAUAACCACUUUUUUUUUGCGUGUAUGUUUUUUUAAAUUAAAUCAGCUUUAUCACAGCCAAUUCCAAACAUAACAAAAUAAUUACUAAAUAAUUUGGUCUUUUAUUUUUUUUUUCCUCUUUGGAAAAAAUAAAGCUAUGCUGAGUGAUUCCACUCCACAUGGGUUUUACCCAUUCAAGGCUUCUUUCAUUUCAGAAUUAAUUUCCUCAUUCACAGGAAACCACGGAAAUAUUCAGCUAAUAAAUUCUAGCAUAAGAUUUCAAAAGUUGAUUCACAUGCUCAGUCCUGAAGAAUUGCAGCUUCCAAGAAGCUCACAGACUGCGUGUCCCUACUGAAAGCCAUUUUGAAAACCUGGUCCAAUGUGGAAACAGCCUUAUUUCGGGUCUAGUAGGGCUUAUACUGAAAAUUAAGAUCUGGAUAAUCUCUAAAUUGUGGAGACCAAAUAUAAAUUUUGGAGCACAGUCUCUCAUCUUAAGCAUUUGGAUUUGGCUGAAAGUCCAACCGAACAGAAACAUUUAAGGCCUCGGUUUUCUCUGACUUACACUGGACACAGAAGUGUUCGGUGGUUGCUUCUGAACGUGACCAGUCAACAUAAGCUCAGCACCUGUGGAACAGCCCUUGGUUACACAGACAUCAUCCUUCUUUUGCCUGCUGUAGCCUGGUACUGCCCAAGAGCAACAGAAAAACACAAAGCCUUCCAAACUGGUGUUAGACAAAUGUGGAAGCCAUAACUGUGACUUUCUGCCCUUUCCCGAGCUCUCAGCCAAACCACAACCCAUAAGAAGUGGGUUCACAGCCCUUAUUGCCUCGAAGCCCAGCUCCGAAACCACAACAGUGCAGAAUCAGGUGGUGGGUGCCGCGGCUGGUGAAGUUAUGCAAAGGCAAAACCAGAACCAGGUUCAAAAAGGCAUUUUCCCGAGACAGAAGGCGCAGGAACACAUGGGAGUGCCCAGCGCAGCGGGUGGGAACUGAGGCAGGAUCGCUGGGCUCUCACUCCUGACAGAGACGCCGCCGACACAGUGGGGCAUCGAGUUCAUCUGUGGCGUAGGAACGGGGCUGUGCUGAGCCUGAGCAGGACAGCAGAAGUCUAAGAGCUGUGCUAACCUUCCAGGAAUCCCAGCUCAAAAUGCAAGUCAGCCUAAUUGCUUUUUCUGGGCAUCAGUAAAGGCAUGGAUGGGAAAUCUCUACUGGUGUGCUAUCAGCGAGAUCCCUUUUGGUUUUGUGCUACUGUAGGGUCACGGUGCUACUUAACUCUCUCCAGCCUCAUGUUUCUGGCCCACUGGGCUAGCAGGACAGCCUCAGGCAACGGCACUGCCUCAGCACACCUGGUUUUACACAUCUAAUUGGAAAAAGUGCCAGGCAGGGAGGGUGCUAAAUAUCUCUCCAAACAGAAUUCAUCUUCUCCCUGCAUCUGCUUUGGAAUCAUAGAGCACUUCCAAGCUGGAGAAAAAUCCAAACACCUCAUGUAGAAGCACCUUUCCCUUGGAUUUUUAUUAUCAUCAUAAUUUUUAAGAAUAUAUUUUGUACCGAAACACUGUCAGCAUCCUUUAUACAAUGGAAAAUGACACAGUCAUCAUGUAUCAUGUAAAAGAGUAAAAACAGAGCAAGACAGGAACAUUUCAUAUCAAGAUUCAAUCUGGAAUACAAAUAGAAUCUGAUGUGAAACUUAAAAGCCACACACCAGAUAAAAAGAUCAUCUGGGAAACAAUAGAUUCUCUCUUAAUUUGGAAAAAGGAGGAAAAGUCAGGGAAUGUCAAUGUUAAGGCUAAAAAUUCCAUUUUUAACUUGUAUUUUAUAGGUAGGCAGCUUGAUUCUUAACUUCUCUGCAGCAGCAGCAACAUCCUCCUGGCUUUACAAAGAGAUUUGCACUUGCAUGAAAUAAGAAUCAGGCUUUUAUGUUCGGAGGACUCUGAUUGACCUCAACAGGCUUUGGACUAGAGCCACAGUUGGAAUUUCAGCUUGCAGUCUAAGGCUUCUUAACUGCAGGCCAAAUUAGCGCAAAAUGAGGCUUUGCAACUGGCAUUCUACCCUUAACUUUGGAUAUUCCAGUUCUGGUUGCUUUGAACCACAGCUUUAUUGCAGGUUUAACAUAGUUCAGUUUGUGAGAUUCUUCUCUCUUUUUUUUUUUAAUACUGUGCUACAAAGGAUGUUUUUGUAUUCUGUGUCUUACAAAGUCCCUAUAUUACAUGUUUUCAAGAUUGCCUAAAUACAUGUUUAUAUCAUGAUUAUAA